rnacentral:lncRNA from 1 species
GCCAGGCACUGCAUACAAAAACAAAGCAAGCUUCUCCCAGAAAGCCUGCCCUGGAUUUUGAACGCUUUGGUGACUACUUUGCUGUAAAAGCAAUAAACUCUCCUCGCUGCUAAUUCAUACUGCGUGGGGUGUAUACAUAAUACUGUAAGAGCUGUGACACGGCAGCAUUUUGCUUCAGAUUCUAGGCUUUGUGUAAGUGUUUUUGAAUGCAGGGAAUAAACAUGGAACUGACAGAGGAAGGGAAAAUCAUUUACCUAUUUUUAGAGACAAAAUAUGGGCACAAUAGAGAGUUUUCAAGUUACCUAAUUUUUGUCAGUAAAACACGUUUGUUUGUUUUAUGUUUUUUUAAUUUGGAUGUGUGACCUUCCCAGAGAGGAUGCUUUUACUCUGCAGCUACCUUCACUGGCCUUUGAUCCAUCAUGAAGCACAGAACAGAGAAAGCUACCCCAGCAGGAGGUGAUACAUGCUAUCUCAACCCAUGAAAGGUGACAGUACACUUCACAUGCAUUUAUAGAUAAAGAUAAAGACUUUCUACAGACAAAUGAGUUUUGAAGCAAGGUUUAUCACGUAGCAUUUCCAUUCUGAGAUACACGGAGCUGGAACACUGUCAUCUGUACAGAGAGCAAGGUUUGUUCUAAAUCAAAAAAAGAGGAUAAAAUGCAGAAAUGUGGUAUGACGUUGAUCUUCAACUGGAACAUCAGAAAAUGCAGUCUAUACAGUUAUGAAACCUGAGAGCAGUGACUAAGCAGUUAAUCUGAAGACUAUCCCUAGAGACGGAAUAUGAUGCUCCUAGACUCCCAACAAAAAAACAGGUGAGAAACCUUUAGGCAUGGGCAGAGAGCAUGGUUUCACAUCCCUGACUGAACUUCUAUGGAGCAUUGAUCUCUGUGAUGCACCGUGUGUGCUACUUUCACCUAAACCCUUUGGAGGGAUGUUGUGUGCCAAAUUCCAUCUGCUCUUUUAACUAUGCUGUAUGGUUUUGUAUUCCCUUCCCCUUUUAAUUUACUGUUUAAUAUGUCUUCCUUGUGCCUUGGACUUGGCGCUUUCCUUGUUAGUGUUCCAACCUUAGCUUCUUAUGUGGUAUCUCCACACAGCAUGACACCUUUUGACCUAGGAUCUCUAUUCCACAGUCUCUAAUGUUCAAUAAAUCCCUGCACUUCACAGCCAGCUCCUUAUCAUUUGAUUUCCAGCUGCCAGGGCCUUAAGAGAUGAGUAGGCCUUCCUGGCCCUCACCCAUGGAACUCUUCUCAUCCCUUGGCCGUGGGCCUCAUUUAAGCUUGAACUUCAGUCUGAGUUACUCUGUGUUUUCUAUCUUUAGUUUUGUUCUCUCUCUCUCUCUCUCUCUCCUUUUUUUUUUUUUUGGUCUUGUCUUUUGGAUGAAUAUUGGACCUAUGUUGUCACCCUGUUUCCGACUCUAUCUGCUGCUCCAAGAUGGCCUCUGGAAACUGACACAGUCUUCUCACAGCUGUACUAUUUGCUGGACAAAUGUCCUGCUGGUUGCACUUCUUUCUCAGCUUUGAUGAACCAGAACCUCUGGAAAUGAAAUAAUAGAAUAAGUACAAUAAUUGAGGUAUAACCAAAUAGUGAAAACAAACUUGCUGUUGUUAAAAACUGAAUGAAUAUGAAAGUAAAAUACAAAAUCACGGUUAAGCUGCUCAUUGUGAAAUUCAUAACAAAAUCCACUGACCAAUUUGCUACUGUUUGAACAAAAUGUCUUUUUAAGACUCAUUAAAAGGAUUGUUGAGAUAGAACAAGAGGAAAUGUUUUCAAGCUUAAAGAAGGUAGAUUUAGGUUAGAUAAAGGGAAAGCCUUUUACAGUGAGGGUGGUGAGGCACUGGCACAGGUUGCCCAGAGGUGUGGUGGAUGCCCCAUCCCUGAAAACUUUCACAAGACAAGGCUGGAUCAAGCCCCGGGCAACCUGAUGUAGCUAUGCAUGUCCCUCUUCAUUGCAGAGGAGUUGGACUAGAUAACCUUUAAAGGUCCCUUCCAACUCUAAAGGUUCUAUUAUUUUAUGAGUCUAAUUUCAGGUGACAUUGAUCUAGCAACACAUAGUUCCAAGACUUGCAGUAUUUCAUUAUAAGGUACUUCGGAUAGAAAUAGAAAAACUCAAAUCUACUGAGUUGACAGUUUUUCUAUUGACCUCUCAAAUUCUUUACAGACAGUUCGCAUUUAACCCCAGUGACAGUUCAGUCCUAUAAGAACCACAAAACUACAUGAUCUUAUCUGUCUGGUUAUCAGUUUUCACAUCAGAUUGACUUAUCAUCUUCAAUUUUUUUUCAUCCUUGAGUCAACAUUUGGGUCAUGUGGAUUUUCUGAUUCUUUCUUUUCUGUCUUUUCCCUCUGUAUGGGAACUGUUGAAUCAUGGCCUGAACCUCUGAUUGACCACCUGAGGCAAGCGCUGAGUCAGCUGCAGGGGCACAGGUGAACGCAAUUUCACCUGAGUGACCGGAAGGAGUGGAGCCUGGCUCCACCCUUCCUAGACCCCAUUUAAGGGCUGACUCCCAAAGAGGAAGGAUCUCUGUCUGGAAAUUGCCCCUCUUGGAGCAGUUCUGCAAGCCCAAGGACAUGGUUUUCAGUUGCGUCCCUACUACCAGCAUUGGAGCCUCCUGCACACCUCCUUAUAGUAAUGAAAGGGAUACUGGUGAGGGUGAGAAGAUCUGUAGUGUCUGCACUGAACAUCUUUCCACUUUGGACAAUCUUAGACUAGCUUUGAGAAGACUUUCUCAUACAAGAAUUUAGUAAUGCCAAAUAAUACUACAGCCUGCAUCUUGCCUUUCUUGUUGCGUUCCAUAGUCCACUUGGCUGACAUCAGUGACCUGAGGAAAAUGUGGUGAAGGCUCCUGGGGACAAACGAGAGGCUGGAUGUGCCUGGAGGGGGGUGUGAGCAGCUGAACACAAAUGAAAUCACCUCAUCAGAAGAGCAUGAUAUGCUUCUGAAGAUCCAUAAAGACACAGGACUGGUGCAUGCAACAGACUCCUUAAGUUCACUGUGCUGUGAUCAGAUCAAGAAGUCGAAGAGAAAUGUUUGCUGUUUGUCUGCAUAUCUGCAGACAUAAAGGGUUUGCAAAAAGCACAGAGGGGAAAAGGGAAGAGAGAGAAAGAACAACAUUUGAAUCCUCUCAUCUCAAGCAUGGAAGUAUGAUGCAGCCAAGGAGAGAAAAGCUAAAGGUUGCCUCUACCUGUCUAUGUGUUCCACUGUUGAGGCUUCUGCCUGUAUGUUGUAAUAUUCUUCCAGUGUUGGAUGAAUAAUGGCAGUGUUGGAUGAGCAAUGGAUGAAGAGGAAAAUUCAUGUACAAUUUAGUCUAUUCUCUAAACAACCAAGAUGUCUAUCCAUAAUGGCAAGAUCCUAAUCAAGGUACAAUAGGUUUGGAAUGGGCACUACUGAAUGGUAAUAGCAGGACACCAGUGUGUCUGACAGAACUCUACAUUUGCUUUUCAUCCAAAGAAAAUGGGUAUAACCACCUUAUGACUACAUUGUAUUACAUCACUUCUGCUGCUGUUCUGGACUAAGAAAAUGCGUAUGAACCGACAGAAUAUUGAAAAUGACUUGAAAAACCCACAACACUUAGAAUAAAUAUUAUCUCUCUGUUCACUGUACUGGAAAUGUGUCAAAAUAUGUAAACAAAAUAGCCUACUGCAUGUAAGGAAGAUGUAUAAGCAUAAGUAACAUGGUCUUUUUUUCGUAUAAAACAAUAAUGUUCUUGGAAUCCUAAAUAGCCAAAUGAUAGUAAGUGAAAAAAAAACCCAGUCUGCUCAAUCAGGUCUCUGCAAAUACAGAGUUGGAUGAAGGCUUAACAUUUCAAUAGGCAUUAAAUAUACAGUUGAUAGAGCACUUGAAAAAGGCAGCUGUAAAUUAUUUCUUACUGUGGCCUAAAUAAGACUCUUACAUUUUGUCUGGAGAAGAGAAUUUCAGUAGUUACCUUAGAUGGGACUGCCUGAACUCAAAGGAAAAAAAAAGAGUUUUAACCAGGACACCUUCUCAUCUUUUGUUUUGGUGAAGGUUAUUUAUGUUCUUAUUAAAUCAUCUAAUAGUAAUCAACUGAGGAACAACAGGAGGCUAAGCAUAUUGGAAAUUAAAGUAGAAAGCAUUAAGGAAAGCUUCCUUAGUGUGUUCGUCAGGCUGCAGAAUUUGGCUUUAAAAUUACAGCAAGCCAAGCAGAGACAAUUUCAAAAAAUCAGAGUGUACAACUGACUUUGCCUGGCUCCAUAUGGGUAGUCACUGAGCCACACACCUUAAAUCCUGGAAGGAUUGUUUCCCAGGCAUGCAAAAAAAGGUGGAGACCUGAGGUAAGAGAUGCUUCACCAGGGAUGAGCUCUAGAACAAGGCAAGUUCUUCAUUUCACCACAACCUCACCCCUGGGCUGAUGGGGAGGUGCAGUUUCAGUGCUUGACUCUUUUUCCUGAUUGACACAUCUGCUCAUUUCAAAGGACUCAAUUAAAUGAGGAGAAAGAUGUGUAAAUGGUUCUCCUAGAAGA